AGCUUGAUAGGACAUGUGUGGGAGUUAUGGAGAGAAGGCAGAACACUGGAGAUGGUUGAUUCAUCAUUGGUGGAGUCAUAUAAGCCUGAUGAAGUCUUCAGAUGCAUUCAAAUCGGACUCUUAUGUGUGCAAGAAGAUGCAGUGGACAGACCUACUAUGUCAGCAGUUGUUCUAAUGUUGAACAGCGAAAAAACUCCCCCUUCUCCUAAACAACCUGCUUUCAUUUUCAGGACAUCUUCCAACACUAGCAACUCCAGAGGAGGAGAAGGAUCCUGUUCUGUAAAUGAAUUGUCAAUUACUGCAGAUGCAACACGAUAGCUUUUGGAUUUUUGUACCUGGAAUCAUAUGAUGAUUUCCAACAGAGAUGUAUUGUACAGCCAUCUCAAUAUGAAUUUCAAUUGCCAUUUAACCAUAUGGAUAUAGUUGCAGAUGGUUUUGGCAGGAAGAGUUUUGGAACAGGAAACUGUAUUGAAAUCGGAAAAAGUAAGGAAAUCAGCUGAAUCGGAAACACUGACAUUUAAAACCAUGGCUACACUCCCCGACUAAAACCUGGUUAAUCCUUCCAGGAUCAAAUAUUCAUCAUUUGGCAUUUCUAUUUCCGCUACAGGAGAAAUUUUUCCAGGACUUGGAUGCUAAGAGUCCUGACCUUUUCUUUGCUUCUGUUUAUCUGUUAUGCUUUGC
rnacentral:misc_RNA from 1 species